rnacentral:lncRNA from 1 species
UUUUUUUUAAUUACUUGUAAAGUAUAUAUAUUGCUUUUCACAGUCAGAAGAAAAAAAUCUAAAAAUCAAAUUGAUAAUGAAGUGUCACUGGCUGCAAUAUUUUCAAAAAUUAAAUAAAAAAACUUAAAUCAUAUAUAAAGGUCGACCUCUGAUGAGGGUUUACCUGGGAUUAUUCCCGAAAGAACCCGAAACAUUGCAUAUUAAAUUCUAAAGAAUUAAGCAAUAAAAAGAACGUAGUGUCAGGUCAGAAAUAUUGAUACCAUACCAUAAAAAUUGAUCCCUCAAAUACCCUAGAUUAAAAAUAUCCCUAUAUCAAAAACAGAAACUAGUUAUUUCGUUCAGAAAAAAAUCAACAAUCAUACUAUAACUUAUUGUACAAGUUACGGAAAAAAAAUCAACCAAGGCAGAACUGCCUCAACGGCCGAAACGUCUUGUUUACACAAAUUACAAUUUUCUAGGUCCAU